AUGGAGAUGCUCGGAAAACACUGGGCAAUAGUAUGGAGCCGCGUGAGCCAGGCACACCCUUCCAUGAUCUCCUUCAAACACGAAACAGCAAAGCCCACACACCGCCCGGCUCCUCGCCGCUUCCAUCCUCAGGUGCUAGCCCACAUAUGGGUGCGAAUGAGAACACACGCGGCGUGGGCGCGCUCGGGGUCAACGGCAGUGGAGAGGUGGGUGGGUGUAGGUGAGCGGCGGAGGAGGGAGGGAGAGAGGAAGAAGGGGACCGACGGAGGGGGAGCGAGAGGGGCGCGCUGGGGCUCACAUCUGCACCGCCGCCCCACCCGCCACCUGGAGCGCGCCGCCCAGGGCAGGGGCGCCUGGACCAGAGUGGACGCCGGGCAGCGCCAGGGCGCCCCAGGGGCGGCCGUGGGCGCCGGGCUCUGCCGGCGCAGGGUGCGCGCGCGCGCUCUCAGCCGCGCCCCGAGCCGGGCUAGGGACCCCGGGCCUCUGGGCUCCGCGGCGCCGGCGCCCUCUGCCCCCGCGCGGCUGGCCAGGCAGCCGGGCUCUCCAGGCGAACGCGAGAAAGCGAGGCGGCGGCGGCCACUUGGGGAACUUUUCCCCCCUCGCCUGGAAUUUCAUAGGAAACACAUGCUCUGGAGAAGCUGGGGCCCGGGGGGGAGGGGCGGGAAUUUUCCGCUCCGUCUCGCGCGGCGGUUCGGGCCCCGGUCCCGCCAGGCUCCCGGGCGCUCCGACGAGGCGGAGGCGCCCCUGGCGGACGCGGCCCCGGGCCACUCUGCAGGGACCGACCCCGGGGCCUCGGGGAGCGCGGGGAGAGCAGGAGCCCGGUGGAGAAGGCAGGGAGCCCCGGCGAGGCGGCGGGGUCCAGCCUUACCUUGGUGGUUUUCCUCUGGAAUGUACAUCCUCGUAUUCUCAUUGACCAUGGACCAAAAAUGGUUUUCAAAGGAGGAGCAGCCACGAAGAGGAAGAAAUGUGAAAACACCCCCCAGCGGGUCUGGAUUAAUCCCUCCUCCGAGGCCGGCGGCUUUCGUGCAAGAUUCGAGGAAGCCGUGGUCUGCAGUGUUUCUUCUUCCCUGCCGACGAUUACCUGAUUCCCAUUAUGGCAUCAAACCCCAAAAACUGCUCCUUUCCACUACUGCCUCCUCGAGUGAAAUUGUAAUGCAUCCUCAGUACAUCCGGGCCCCUUCCAAGAAUUGA
rnacentral:lncRNA from 1 species